UCUAGCCAGUAACCCUGAGCAAAGAGAACUUUAGUUCAGCCCCCCGAAACUAGACGAGCUACUUCAAGACAGCCUAUGUUGGGCAAACCCGUCUCUGUUGCAAAAGAGUGGGAAGAUCUUCAAGUAGAGGUGACAAACCUAUCGAGCCUAGUCAUAGCUGGUUGCCUGAAAAGUGUAUAUAAGUUCAGCCUCCCGACUCCCCCAGUCCAAGACACUUAUGUCUCCCGAGACAGAAGGUGGUCGAGAGAGUUAGUCAAAGAGGGUACAGCCCCUUUGAAAAAGGACACAACCUCACCGGGAGACUAAAGAUCAUAAUUAACUUAAGGAGACUUAUUCUAGUGGGCCUGAAAGCAGCCACCUAAAAGAAAGCGUUAAAGCUCAUACAAACUCCGCCCCUUAAUACCGAACCAGACUCUUCACUCCCCGCCCAAUAUCGGGCCGCCCCAAAACCCCUGGGAAAGACCCUGCUAGAAUGAGUAAUAAGAGGGACCGCCCCUCUCCGACCCACACGUGUAAAUCGCAACGGACCCACCACCGAUAACUAACGACCCCCUCCCAUGAGGGUAAUGUAACACUGCACAAAUAGCUAGAAACCAUAACAAAAUUAAUCGUUAACCCAACACAGGUGUGCAUGCCCGGAAAGACUUAGAUAAAGGGAAGGAACUCGGCAAACACAAGCCUCGCCUGUUUACCAAAAACAUCGCCUCUUGCAAUAAUCGAAUAAGAGGUCCCGCCUGCCCUGUGACUAUAUGUUUAACGGCCGCGGUAUUUUGACCGUGCGAAGGUAGCGCAAUCACUUGUCUCUUAAAUGGAGACCUGUAUGAAAGGCACCACGAGGGCUUAGCUGUCUCCCCUUUAAAGUCAAUGAAAUUGAUCUCCCCGUGCAGAAGCGGGGAUAAGCUCGUAAGACGAGAAGACCCUAUGGAGCUUAAGAUAUAAAGCGACCCAUGUCAAAUACCCCCAUAAAGGAAGAGAACAAAAUGGACCUCGCCGGAGUAUCUUCGGUUGGGGCGACCGCGGGGAAAGACAAAACCCCCACAUGGACUAGGGCCACUGUAGCCCUAAAACCUAGACCCACAGGUCAAAUCAACAGUAUUUCUGACCACCAAAGAGCCGGCAAUGCCGAUCAACGGACCGAGUUACCCUAGGGAUAACAGCGCAAUCCCCUCCCAGAGCCCUUAUCGACAAGGGGGUUUACGACCUCGAUGUUGGAUCAGGACAUCCUAAUGGUGCAGCCGCUAUUAAGG
rnacentral:rRNA from 1 species